rnacentral:lncRNA from 1 species
CUCAUUUCAAAAUCAAAUUUCCUACGGCUCAUGGGGUUGGUGAGGUGAAAGGAGAUUUGGAUCUGGCCAGAAGAUGUUAUAGAAAUGCUGUGAUUACUUCGGGAGUGGGGGUAUCAAAACAAAAGCAGACCAUGGUGAUAGAGAUUAACCCUUCACUGAGAGUAGUUCCGAACCAUUGGUCAUGCCAGCUGAAGAAACAGAGGAGAUAGAG